GGGAGAUUAGAGGGCAGGAAGAAGAGAAAAGCCGCAGUGAUUUUCUCUCUCUCUCCUCUUCAAAGCUCCGGUUCUUGUUGGACAGGUCCACCAUGGUUCCAGUUACUCCCUGGGGAUCUGUGGAAUCAGAAAGCGAAGAAGAAGCAGAAGCAAGCCUGUCCCUCUGCCUCCCUCUGACACCCACUCGGAGGCAUUGCCAAUCCGUGUUGAUGCCACUUCUAAGUAAUCCGGUGCUAUCGCUUUUGUUGGUAAAUUACCUUCUAAUAGUACCGUCUUCUGGCUUCUCCAUCCCAGCUGCUAAAGAAUGAGACUUUACUAUUUCGGACAUCUCUAUGUGGAAUAAAUGUGGCUCUUUUCUUUCCCCUGGGAAACCAAGUUCUAUGGCUCUAUUCUCAGUAAUAAACAGU
rnacentral:lncRNA from 1 species